CGAUCAAAACUAAUGCCCUCUCUCUAACAACUAGAAACCACCAUUUCUAUCCUUCUCGAGUAGGAUCAUCGCCUCAACAUUGUAACGAGCUACAAGACCUUGGAAGAAUCUUAAACCAUCACCACAAAAGUUAGCUCAUACGACGAGAGAGUCCAAACAUAUACUUUCUUUUUAGAGAGGGAGUAGAAGCAAAAAGUUUCAAAAGAAAAAAAAAAGAAAGAAGAAUGCAAGAGGAUGGAGAAGGAAGAAGAGAUUACAUACAAGGACACUGAAGCCAGUAACUUCGGCAAAA